rnacentral:rRNA from 1 species
AUUGAACGCUGGCGGCAUGCCUUACACAUGCAAGUCGAACGGCAGCGCGGACUUCGGUCUGGCGGCGAGUGGCGAACGGGUGAGUAAUAUAUCGGAACGUACCAUUCAGUGGGGGAUAACGCAGCGAAAGUUGCGCUAAUACCGCAUAUUCUGUGCGCAGGAAAGCAGGGGAUCGCAAGACCUUGCGCUGAUUGAGCGGCCGAUAUCAGAUUAGCUAGUUGGUGAGGUAAAGGCUCACCAAGGCGACGAUCUGUAGCGGGUCUGAGAGGAUGAUCCGCCACACUGGAACUGAGACACGGUCCAGACUCCUACGGGAGGCAGCAGUGGGGAAUUUUGGACAAUGGGCGCAAGCCUGAUCCAGCCAUGCCGCGUGAGUGAAGAAGGCCUUCGGGUUGUAAAGCUCUUUCGGCCGGGAAGAAAUCGCAUGGGUUAAUACCCUGUGCGGAUGACGGUACCGGCAUAAGAAGCACCGGCUAACUACGUGCCAGCCGCCGCCGUAAUAC